rnacentral:rRNA from 1 species
GAUGAACGCUGGCGGCGUGCCUAAUACAUGCCUGUCGAGCGAGCGGACGAGAAGCUUGCUUCUCUGAUGUUAGCGGCGGACGGGUGAGUAACACGUGGAUAACCUACCUAUAAGACUGGGAUAACUUCGGGAAACCGGAGCUAAUACCGGAUGAUAUUUUGAACCGCAUGGUUCAAAAGUGAAAGACGGUCUUGCUGUCACUUAUAGAUGGAUCCGCGCUGCAUUAGCUAGUUGGUAAGGUAACGGCUUACCAAGGCAACGAUGCAUAGCCGACCUGAGAGGGUGAUCGGCCACACUGGAACUGAGACACGGUCCAGACUCCUACGGGAGGCAGCAGUAGGGAAUCUUCCGCAAUGGGCGAAAGCCUGACGGAGCAACGCCGCGUGAGUGAUGAAGGUCUUCGGAUCGUAAAACUCUGUUAUUAGGGAAGAACAUAUGUGUAAGUAACUGUGCACAUCUUGACGGCACCUAAUCAGAAAGCCACGGCUAACUACGUG